rnacentral:rRNA from 1 species
UACGAAGGGGGCUAGCGUUGCUCGGAAUCACUGGGCGUAAAGCGCACGUAGGCGGCUUGUUAAGUCAGGGGUGAAAUCCUGGAGCUCAACUCCAGAACUGCCUUUGAUACUGGCGGAGCUUGAGUUCGGGGAGAGGUGAGUGGAACUGCGAGUGUAGAGGUGAAAUUCGUAGAUAUUCGCAAGAACACCAGUGGCGAAGGCGCUCACUGGCCCGAUACUGACGCUGAGGUGCGAAAGCGUGGGGAGCAAACAGGAUUA